rnacentral:tRNA from 1 species
UGAUAUAGCUCAAUGGUAGAGCAAUGGUUUUGUAAUCCGUCGGUUGGGGGUUCAAAUCCCUUUAUCA